GACAGAGGGGGCAAGCGUUGCUCGGAAUCACUGGGCGUAAAGGGCGCGUAGGCGGGAUGGCAAGUCAGUCGUGAAAUCUCUCGGCUCAACCGAGAAACGUCGGCUGAUACUGCCGUUCUUGAGGGAUGCAGAGGAGACUGGAAUUCCCGGUGUAGCGGUGAAAUGUGUAGAGAUCGGGAGGAACACCGGUGGCGAAGGCGGGUCUCUGGGCAUUUCCUGACGCUGAGGCGCGAAAGCGUGGGGAGCGAACAGG
rnacentral:rRNA from 1 species